AAAUGCGAUAAGUAGUGUGAAUUGCAGAAUUCAGUGAAUCAUCGAAUCUUUGAACGCACAUUGCGCCCUUUGGUAUUCCUUAGGGCAUGCCUGUUCGAGCGUCAUCUAAACCUUCAAGCCCUGCUUGGUGUUGGGUGUCUGUCCCGCCUCCGCGCGCGGACUCACCUCAAAUCCAUUGGCGGCCCCCGCGUCGGCCACGAGCGCAGCAGAAACGCGAACUCGUGAGCCCGUCCGGGCGGCUCCCAGAAGCUACACCCACCCAGUUUGACCUCGGAUCAGGUAGGGAUACCCGCUGAACUUAAGC
rnacentral:misc_RNA from 1 species